rnacentral:rRNA from 1 species
GAUGAACGCUGGCGGCGUGCCUAAUACAUGCAAGUCGAGCGAACAGAUGAGGAGCUUGCUCCUCUGACGUUAGCGGCGGACGGGUGAGUAACACGUGGAUAACCUACCUAUAAGACUGGGAUAACUUCGGGAAACCGGAGCUAAUACCGGAUAAUAUAUUGAACCGCAUGGUUCAAUAGUGAAAGACGGUUUUGCUGUCACUUAUAGAUGGAUCCGCGCCGCAUUAGCUAGUUGGUAAGGUAACGGCUUACCAAGGCAACGAUGCGUAGCCGACCUGAGAGGGUGAUCGGCCACACUGGAACUGAGACACGGUCCAGACUCCGACGGGAGGCAGCAGUAGGGAAUCUUCCGCAAUGGGCGAAAGCCUGACGGAGCAACGCCGCGUGAGUGAUGAAGGUCUUCGGAUCGUAAAGCUCUGUUAUUAGGGAAGAACAAAUGUGUAAGUAACUAUGCACGUCUUGACGGUACCUAAUCAGAAAGCCACGGCUAGCUACGUG